rnacentral:rRNA from 1 species
AUUGAACGCUGGCGGAAUGCUUUACACAUGCAAGUCGAACGGUAGAGGGGGCAACCCCUUGAGAGUGGCGAACGGGUGAGUAAUAUAUCGGAACGUGCCCAGUCGUGGGGAUAACGUAGCGAAAUUUACGCUAAUACCGCAUACGAUCUAAGGAUGAAAGCGGGGGACCGUAAGGCCUCGCGCGAUUGGAGCGGCCGAUAUCAGAUUAGGUAGUUGGUGAGGUAAAGGCUCACCAAGCCGACGAUCUGUAGCUGGUCUGAGAGGACGACCAGCCACACUGGGACUGAGACACGGCCCAGACUCCUACGGGAGGCAGCAGUGGGGAAUAUUGGACAAUGGGCGAAAGCCUGAUCCAGCAAUGCCGCGUGAGUGAUGAAGGCCUUAGGGUUGUAAAGCUCUUUUACCCGGGAUGAUAAUGACAGUACCGAGAGAAUAAGCCCCGGCUAACUCCGUGCCAGCAGCCGCGGUAAAGUGACUACUG